rnacentral:misc_RNA from 1 species
AAAAAGGAAUUUCUUAGGCUGCUCCAUUGAAGUAGCCAUUUAGACAUCCACAUCAGUACUUAAAGAAUAUUAUUCAUUUAGAUCAGCUUUGUUCUCACAGAUUAGCCUUCAUUCAGUUAAUUCAGGGUCCCAUCCCAGAUUAAAGGGAACAAAAUAGAUGAAAGAUCCAAAAGCAUAGAACAGUAAAAGGAUCACAGAAACAGGAAAAUAAAGUUUCACCUGCCCAACUCCAGCAACAAGGA